rnacentral:rRNA from 1 species
AAUGAACGUUGGCGGCGUGGAUUAGGCAUGCAAGUCGAACGAGAUCUGUAGCAAUACAGUGAAAGUGGCGAAAGGGAGAGUAAUACGUAGGUACCUGCCCUCGGGUCUGGGAUAGCUGCGGGAAACUGCAAUUAAUACCGGAUGAUGUCUCUGGACCACAGGUGUGAUUCCGCCAGGGGAUGGGCCUGCGUCCUAUCAGCUUGUUGGUGUGGUAACGGCGCACCAAGGCUAAGACGGGUACGGGGUGUGAGAGCAUGCCCCCGCUCACUGGGACUGAGAUACUGCCCAGACACCUACGGGUGGCUGCAGUCGAGAAUCUUCCGCAAUGGGCGCAAGCCUGACGGAGCGACGCCGCGUGUGGGAUGAAGGCCUUCGGGUUGUAAACCACUGUCAGUGGGGAGCAAAUGCAUCAGGGUUCUCCCUGGUGUUUGAGCGAUCCGCAGAGGAAGCACAGGCUAAUUCCGUGCCAGCCGCCGCAGUAA